rnacentral:rRNA from 1 species
AGGGUUUGAUCAUGGCUCAGAACGAACGCUGGCGGCAUGCCUAACACAUGCAAGUCGAACGCUAUUUAAUAGAGUGGCGCACGGGUGAGUAACGCGUGGGAACCUGCCUUUUUCUGUGGGAUAACGGUUGGAAACGACCGCUAAUACCGCAUACGCCCUACGGGGGAAAGGUCCGCCGGAGAAAGAGGGGCCCGCGUCUGAUUAGCUAGUUGGUGGGGUAACGGCCUACCAAGGCGACGAUCAGUAGCUGGUCUGAGAGGAUGAUCAGCCACACUGGGACUGAGACACGGCCCAGACUCCUACGGGAGGCAGCAGUGGGGAAUAUUGGACAAUGGGGGCAACCCUGAUCCAGCAAUGCCGCGUGUGUGAUGAAGGCCUUAGGGUUGUAAAGCACUUUCACUGGUGAAGAUGAUGACGGUAACCAGAGAAGAAGCCCCGGCUAACUUCGUGCCAGCCGCCGCGGUAAUAC